AUUCUUAGUAGGCAUGUCAAUUCUGACGCAAUUCAAAGUCCGACAGAAAACAGUAUGGAAAGCGUCUACGAGGAAAUUGAUGACAUUGCACUUCAAGAGCCUGCUCAACAUCCAAACAUUAGUAAUAUUAAUGCGGAACUAUCUUCUAUUUUUUCGUCUAGCUCUGAUAAGAGCAGCAUAUCAGCCACCGAAGAACAAUAUCUAAACCC
rnacentral:lncRNA from 1 species